GAUGAACCUCCUUCGGGAGGGGAUUAGUGGCGAACGGGUGAGUAACACGUGGGCAACCUGCCCCGCACACUGGGAUAAGCCCUGGAAACGGGGUCUAAUACCGGAUAUGACUCAAGGUCGCAUGGUCUUGGGUGGAAAGCUCCGGCGGUGCGGGAUGGGCCCGCGGCCUAUCAGCUUGUUGGUGAGGUAACGGCUCACCAAGGCGACGACGGGUAGCCGGCCUGAGAGGGCGACCGGCCACACUGGGACUGAGACACGGCCCAGACUCCUACGGGAGGCAGCAGUGGGGAAUAUUGCACAAUGGGCGCAAGCCUGAUGCAGCGACGCCGCGUGAGGGAUGAAGGCCUUCGGGUUGUAAACCUCUUUCAGCAGGGAAGAAGCUCUUGAGUGACGGUACCUGCAGAAGAAGCGCCGGCUAACUACGUGCCAGCAGCCGCGGUAAUACGUAGGGCGCGAGCGUUGUCCGGAAUUAUUGGGCGUAAAGAGCUCGUAGGCGGCUUGUCGCGUCGGUUGUGAAAGCCCGGGGCUUAACUCCGGGUCUGCAGUCGAUACGGGCAGGCUAGAGUUCGGUAGGGGAGAUCGGAAUUCCUGGUGUAGCGGUGAAAUGCGCAGAUAUCAGGAGGAACACCGGUGGCGAAGGCGGAUCUCUGGGCCGAUACUGACGCUGAGGAGCGAAAGCGUGGGGAGCGAACAGGAUUAGAUACCCUGGUAGUCCACGCCGUAAACGGUGGGCACUAGGUGUGGGCGGCAUUCCACGUCGUCCGUGCCGUAGCUAACGCAUUAAGUGCCCCGCCUGGGGAGUACGGCCGCAAGGCUAAAACUCAAAGGAAUUGACGGGGGCCCGCACAAGCGGCGGAGCAUGUGGCUUAAUUCGACGCAACGCGAAGAACCUUACCAAGGCUUGACAUACACCGGAAACAUCCAGAGAUGGGUGCCCCCUUGUGGUCGGUGUACAGGUGGUGCAUGGCUGUCGUCAGCUCGUGUCCUGAGAUGUUGGGUUAAGUCCCGCAACGAGCGCAACCCUUUGUCCCGGGUUGCCAGCCAGGCCCUUGUGGG
rnacentral:rRNA from 1 species